rnacentral:rRNA from 1 species
UACGUAGGGAGCUAGCGUUAUUCGGAAUUACUGGGCGUAAAGCGCACGUAGGCGGCUUUGUAAGUUAGAGGUGAAAGCCUGAAGCUCAACUUCAGAAUUGCCUUUAAGACUGCAUCGCUUGAAUCCAGGAGAGGUGAGUGGAAUUCCGAGUGUAGAGGUGAAAUUCGUAGAUAUUCGGAAGAACACCAGUGGCGAAGGCGGCUCACUGGACUGGUAUUGACGCUGAGGUGCGAAAGCGUGGGGAGCAAACAGG